rnacentral:rRNA from 1 species
AUUGAACGCUGGCGGCAUGCCUUACACAUGCAAGUCGAACGGUAGCGCGGGGUAACCUGGCGACGAGUGGCGAACGGGUGAGUAAUGCAUCGGAACGUGCCCUGGAAUGGGGGAUAACGUAGCGAAAGUUACGCUAAUACCGCAUAUCCUGUGAGCAGGAAAGCAGGGGAUCGCAAGACCUUGCGUUCUGGGAGCGGCCGAUGUCGGAUUAGCUAGUUGGUGGGGUAAAGGCCUACCAAGGCGACGAUCCGUAGCGGGUCUGAGAGGAUGAUCCGCCACACUGGGACUGAGACACGGCCCAGACUCCUACGGGAGGCAGCAGUGGGGGAAUUUUGGACAAUGGGCGGAAGCCUGAUCCAGCCAUGCCGCGUGAGUGAAGAAGGCCUUCGGGUUGUUAAAGG